rnacentral:rRNA from 1 species
UACGAAGGGGGCUAGCGUUGCUCGGAAUCACUGGGCGUAAAGCGCACGUAGGCGGACUCUUAAGUCGGUGGUGAAAUCCUGGAGCUCAACUCCAGAACUGCCUUCGAUACUGGGAGUCUUGAGUUCGGGAGAGGUGAGUGGAACUGCGAGUGUAGAGGUGAAAUUCGUAGAUAUUCGCAAGAACACCAGUGGCGAAGGCGGCUCACUGGCCCGAUACUGACGCUGAGGCACGAAAGCGUGGGGAGCGAACAGG